rnacentral:rRNA from 1 species
AGCGAACGCUGGCGGCAGGCUUAACACAUGCAAGUCGAACGCAUCCUUCGGGGUGAGUGGCAGACGGGUGAGUAACACGUGGGAACGUACCUUUUUGUUCGGAAUAACUCAGGGAAACUUGAGCUAAUACCGGAUACGCCCUUAGGGGGAAAGAUUUAUCGCAGAAAGAUCGGCCCGCGUCUGAUUAGCUAGUUGGUGAGGUAAAGGCUCACCAAGGCGACGAUCAGUAGCUGGUCUGAGAGGAUGAUCAGCCACACUGGGACUGAGACACGGCCCAGACUCCUACGGGAGGCAGCAGUGGGGAAUAUUGGACAAUGGGCGCAAGCCUGAUCCAGCCAUGCCGCGUGAGUGAUGAAGGCCCUAGGGUUGUAAAGCUCUUUCGGCGGGGACGAUAAUGACGGUACCCGCAGAAGAAGCCCCGGCUAACUUCGUGCCAGCCGCCGCAGUAAGAC